UGUCUCCCUCGGUUUCGGCACAAGCUCCAAAACCCUUGAGCCUAAUUGUUAACCCCGGGAGCCGUACCAGUGUUCGGCGUGCAGGCUCACCUUGAAGUGAGAAGCCCAAUAGCAUUGCGAAGCACCCACUUGAGACUCUGUCUCAAGGUCGUGAGUUUAUGACGACGCAGGCGGGAGACAC
rnacentral:other from 1 species